UACGUAGGGUGCGAGCGUUAAUCGGAAUUACUGGGCGUAAAGCGUGCGCAGGCGGUUCGCCAAGUCAGGUGUGAAAUCCCCAGGCUUAACCUGGGAACUGCAUUCGAGACUGCAUUGCUAGAGUAUGGGAGAGGGAAGUGGAAUUUCCGGUGUAGCGGUGAAAUGCGUAGAUAUCGGAAGGAACAUCAGUGGCGAAAGCGACUUCCUGGACCAAUACUGACGCUCAUGUGCGAAAGCGUGGGGAGCAAACAGG
rnacentral:rRNA from 1 species